rnacentral:tRNA from 1 species
GCCUUAGUCGUGUAAUGGUAACACACUCAGCGCGUAUUCAAAUGGUCCAGGUUCGAGUCCCGGCGAGGGCA